AUUGAACGCUGGCGGCAUGCUUUACACAUGCAAGUCGAACGGUAACAGGCCGCAAGGUGCUGACGAAUGGCGAACGGGUGAGUAAUGCAUCGGAACGUGCCCAGUCGUGGGGGAUAACGCAGCGAAAGCUGCGCUAAUACCGCAUACGAUCUCUGGAUGAAAGCGGGGGACCGAAAGGCCUCGCGCGAUUGGAGCGGCCGAUGUCAGAUUAGGUAGUUGGUGGGGUAAAGGCCCACCAAGCCAACGAUCUGUAGCUGGUCUGAGAGGACGACCCGCCAGACUGGGGCUGAGAAACGGCCAAGACUCAAAAGGGAGGGAGAAGUGGGGAAUUUUGAACAAUGGGCGCAAGCUUGCUCCAGCAAUGCCGGGUGCAGGAAGAAGGCCUUCGGGUUGUAAACUGCUUUUGUACGGAACGAAACGGUCCUGGUUAAUACCUGGGGCUAAUGACGGUACCGUAAGAAUAAGCACCGGCUAACUACGUGCCAGCCGCCGCAGUAAGAC
rnacentral:rRNA from 1 species